AGAUUGAACGCUGGCGGCAGGCCUAACACAUGCAAGUCGAGCGGUAGAGAGGUGCUUGCACCUCUUGAGAGCGGCGGACGGGUGAGUAAUGCCUAGGAAUCUGCCUAGUGGUGGGGGAUAACGUUCGGAAACGGACGCUAAUACCGCAUACGUCCUACGGGAGAAAGCGGGGGACCUUCGGGCCUCGCGCCAUUAGAUGAGCCUAGGUCGGAUUAGCUAGUUGGUGAGGUAAUGGCUCACCAAGGCGACGAUCCGUAACUGGUCUGAGAGGAUGAUCAGUCACACUGAACUGAGACACGGUCCAGACUCCGUACGGGAGCAGCAGUGGGAAU
rnacentral:rRNA from 1 species